rnacentral:rRNA from 1 species
GACGAACGCUGGCGGCGUGCUUAACACAUGCAAGUCGAGCGGUAAGGCCCUUUCGGGGGUACACGAGCGGCGAACGGGUGAGUAACACGUGGGUGACCCUGCCCUCAGCUCUGGGAUAAGCCCGGGAAACUGGGUCUAAUACUGGAUAUGACUCCAUGACGCAUGUUGUGGGGUGGAAAGCCUUGUGCGGCUGAGGAUGGGCCCGCGGCCUAUCAGCCUGUUGGUGGGGGAUGGCCUACCAAGGCGACGACGGGUAGCCGGCCUGAGAGGGCGACCGGCCACACUGGGACUGAGACACGGCCCAGACUCCUACGGGAGGCAGCAGUGGGGAUUCUUGCGCAAUGGGCGAAAGCCUGACGCAGCGACGCCGCGUGAGGGAUGACGGCCU